rnacentral:tRNA from 1 species
GCCGGCGUGGCUCAGUGGUUGAGCGUUGACCUAUGAACCAGGAGGUCACGGGUUCGAUUCCCGUUCAAGGCA